UAUAUGCUCAGACUUUGCAAUGAUUUUUGCAUAAAUUAAUAUUUCUGUCAGUUAAAUUUUCAUUUCUUGAAAUAACAUGGAAAUGUUCUGAAAGAAAAAGCGUUUUAAUGGUCAUUUGUUAUUAAAUGAUAAAUAAUAUUUUUCCUUAGGAGGAGGUGGAAACGGACAACCACCAAAAGGAGGUGGAGGAAAAGGAGGCAAAGCCGGAAAAUGUCAAAAGGGAGGUGUUACAGGACUUGCCAACAGCUUGAACAAGGCAGGACAGAGUAAGAUUUUCAUUGAAAACUUUUUCUGAUUAUUUGAAACUAAACUUUUAUAACUUUCCCUAUACAAUGUUAGAAAUUUCUCGGAAAAAAAAUUGUUAAAAAACAAUUUAUUCGAUUGUUAUUUUAAAAGAUUCAAACAGAACAGUCAAUUUACCUUAAAUAAAAUGGUAUUCAGUCUAUAAAUUGCGAGAAAAACUGUUUAAUAACUGCUUUCCCCUAAUAUGGUUAAACAUAAUUUUAUCAAACCAACCAAGCUGACCUAAUGUCGACCCUCAGUUCCUUUCAGCUGGGUGCAUGUUAUAGCCAAAAGGCCUAAUCUAUCAACCUCAUGUCAAGCAGAAUGGUUGACACUAUAAUAUUUCCUCCAUUCCCUUCAACACAUGAAGAGUUUUUAGUGUCCUGCACUCUCCAAUUUGUGACCCUGUGCUAUUAGAGUACUAUAGUCUAACUCAAGCAUAGAUGAUAGCACCAUAAAGCUGAUCAACUUAAGAAAUUCUAGCAUUUUCCAUCUCUCACAAUCAUCAUUCUCACUAUGUGAAUUAACCAGCUACAAUAAUCAAAUACCAUUACUCAGUUGACUUGAGGAAACGCAUCUCAACAACAAUCUAACUUUAUUGUCCAUUAUCUAACGAAAAGUCUAGCUCCAAUAUCCAGUUAAAUUUCUUUUUUACGAUGUUGAAACCAUGCUAGUUGAUAAUGAUUUAAAAAAAAAUAUAUAGUUAUAGAUUCGUGGUUUUUUUUAACCAUACUAAUUUUAAACGGAUUCAAAACUGUAAAAGUUACAAGCGUUAUUUUCCGUGAACUUCACUAUUAAUUAUAAGAGCAGAAUGCCGGUUAUUUUAUUAUAGUUUUAGAAUGAAAAUUCGAACAGUGCUCUGCUAUUUUAGCGUAUAUAAAAAUUCUUAUCUUAGCAUUUAAACUAAUAUGUAAUAGAAAUGUUAGGCAUUAGUUUUUUUUUUCUUUUAAUAUUCACAAGUAAAGCUGUUUUUUUUCUUCCAUGGCCCACAACAAAUACUUUAAAACUUUUGUAAUUGAAACCAUAUCUUACCAAUUAUGUAAAACAAAAAUAUUUUAUCUAGUUUUAAGAAAGAUUUUUGUGUUUUUCAGUAAUUAUUUUCAAGAAAAUUUUCUAAAAUUUUCUAAGCAGAAGCACAUUUUUUUUUUAAGAUUACUUUUAUUUUAAUAUUUAAUUUAGUGAUUUAAGUAACAGAAAGCGACAGAGAAAUUUAUGCUUAAACCACAAAAAGAAACUAAAUAAUGUGGCGUCCUAAACUAAGUCUGCUGAACAGAUUAGAAAAGGAAGAAAAAGCAAACAAACUGAAAGUGAAAUUGGUGACAUGAAUGCCCAGAGUUUUUGGAUUUCAUGGAAUUCACUGAUUCACAGACAUAA
rnacentral:lncRNA from 1 species